UACAGAGGGUGCAAGCGUUGUUCGGAAUUAUUGGGCGUAAAGGGCGCGUAGGCGGUGCGGUAAGUCUUUUGUGAAAUCUCCGGGCUCAACUCGGAGUCUGCAGGAGAAACUGCCGUGCUUGAGUAUGGGAGAGGUGAGUGGAAUUCCUGGUGUAGCGGUGAAAUGCGUAGAUAUCAGGAGGAACACCUGUGGCGAAAGCGGCUCACUGGACCAUUACCGACGCUGAGACACGAAAGCCAGGGGAGCAAACGGG
rnacentral:rRNA from 1 species